CUUGUACUCCCUCCGUCUGAAAAUACUUGUCAUUGAAAUGGAUGUAUCUAGAUGUAUUUUAGUUCUAGAUACAUCCAUUUUGAUGACAAGUAAUUCCGGACGGAGGGAGUACUUG
rnacentral:pre_miRNA from 1 species